rnacentral:tRNA from 1 species
CAAGAUGUAGCUUAACUAAAGCAUCUAGUUUACACCUAGAAGAUUUCAUAUAUCAUGAACAUCUUGA